GAUUUAUCAAGAAAGGUGGAGGGAAUUGGCCCUGUGAAACCUUAGCAACCGACAUCUCUUGUGUAAAGGUGCUAAUUCCAACCCGAUUUGGGGGAAGAUAAGUG
rnacentral:ncRNA from 1 species